CCUACGGGAGACAGCAGUGGGGGAUAUUGCACAAUGGGGGGAACCCUGAUGCAGCGACGCCGCGUGGGUGAAGAAGCGCCUCGGCGCGUAAAGCCCUGUCAGCAGGGAAGAAAAUGACGGUACCUGAAGAAGAAGCCCCGGCUAACUACGUGCCAGCAGCCGCGGUAAUACGUAGGGGGCAAGCGUUAUCCGGAUUUACUGGGUGUAAAGGGGGCGCAGACGGCGAUGCAAGCCAGGAGUGAAAGCUCGGGGCCCAACCCCGGGACUGCUCUUGGAACUGCGUGGCUGGAGUGCAGGAGGGGCAGGCGGAAUUCCUGGUGUAGCGGUGAAAUGCGUAGAUAUCAGGAGGAACACCGGUGGCGAAGGCGGCCUGCUGGACUGCAACUGACGUUGAGGCCCGAAAGCGUGGGGAGCAAACAGGAUUAGAUACCCUAGUAGUC
rnacentral:rRNA from 1 species